GAUGAAGAACGCAGCGAAAUGCGAUAAGUAAUGUGAAUUGCAGAAUUCAGUGAAUCAUCGAAUCUUUGAACGCACAUUGCGCCCCUUGGUAUUCCGGGGGGCAUGCCUGUUCGAGCGUCAUUUCAACCCUCAAGCCUCGCUUGGUGUUGGGCCCUGCCCGCCGCGGCCGGCCCUAAAGAUAGUGGCGGCGCCGCCUGGCCCUCAGCGUAGUACAGCUCUCGCUCCAGGGUCCGGCGGCAGCCUGCCAGAACCCCCCAACUCUGUGGUUGACCUCGGAUCAGGUAGGGAUACCCGCUGAACUUAAGCAUAUCAAUAAGCGGAGGA
rnacentral:misc_RNA from 1 species